AUUCAUAUGUUUCCCAGUUUUUCAACAGUAUGAUCAAGGCUGAAGGCUCGCUUCUGAUUCCCAUUCCAUCUCUCAAAUCCAUAUUGUUUGUUGAAGUGUUAUCGUAGGGUGUCGUUUAUGUGGUUGCUGCGUAAUUCCUGAUAACAAGGUCGCUAAUCUGUUAAUAUUGUAUCAGCGGAAGACAUAGAACAACUGAAGAGGUUUGCUUGUGGCGGGUAUUGCGAUGAGUCUACCAUUGUGUACUUACAACAUCCCUGUGUGAUUCUGACAGCCCUAGAAGUUCUUGGCUACCAGGUGGUAGCGUCAUCAUCC